UGGGGAAUCUUGCACAAUGGGGGCAACCCUGAUGCAGCGACGCCGCGUGAGCGAUGAAGCCCUUCGGGGUGUAAAGCUCUUUCGGCAGGGACGAAUCAAGACGGUACCUGCAGAAGCAGCUGCGGCUAACUACGUGCCAGCAGCCGCGGUAAUACGUAGGCAGCGAGCGUUGUUCGGAGUUACUGGGCGUAAAGGGUGUGUAGGCGGUUCUCUAAGUUUGGUGUGAAAUCUCCCGGCUUAACCGGGAGGGUGCGCCGAAAACUGGGGGACUAGAGUGCGGGAAGGGAGAGUGGAAUUCCUGGUGUAGCGGUGAAAUGCGUAGAUAUCAGGAGGAACACCGGUGGUGUAGACGGCUCUCUGGACCGUAACUGACGCUGAGACACGAAAGCGUGGGUAGCAAACAGGAUUAGAUACCCCGGUAGUCC
rnacentral:rRNA from 1 species